rnacentral:rRNA from 1 species
UACGUAGGGGGCAAGCGUUAUCCGGAUUUACUGGGUGUAAAGGGUGCGUAGGUGGCUUGGCAAGUCAGAUGUGAAAACCCGGGGCUUAACUCCGGGAUUGCAUUUGAAACUGUUAAGCUAGAGUGCAGGAGAGGUAAGUGGAAUUCCUAGUGUAGCGGUGAAAUGCGUAGAUAUUAGGAGGAACACCAGUGGCGAAGGCGGCUUACUGGACUGUAACUGACACUGAGGCACGAAAGCGUGGGGAG